UUUAGGGGCCAAAGAUUAUUGCAAACACUUGCUGAGAUGAUUGAUCCAUACACAUGAUAAUGGGAUGAACUACUGAUCCGGGAUAUUUUCCUUAGCUUGGAUGCAGAAAGAAUUUUUUUGCAUUCCCCUUAGUUUACACAUGACUGAGGACUUUAUGACAUAGGGCCACACAAAAUCGUGCAGUUUCUAUGUUUGCUCUGCUUAUUAUGUCGUAGGGCAACACCAAUAUGGAGCAUAGACUAGAAGGGGAGAUAGGCAAGGAUCAUCUACAACCAACCUAGUGUGGGAUAUCAUGUGGAAACUUCAAAUUCCCUGCAAUAUACAACAAAUCGUAUGUUAUGCUCUACAUGGUAUUGUUUCAGGUAUAAAGAAUUUAGCAAAUAGACACAUCAUGAAUCUUAUGUUCACUUGUAAAAGUGCCAAGGAAGUUUGGAGUGAGAUGGGAUUGCAUGAAAUAAUUGUCAUGGUAAAAGAUUUGGAGAUGUAUGGGAGUGUUAUUUUGGAAGAACUACUUACACAAUCAAGAAAGCAAUCAUUGUGGGAGUCGCUAGUCCUCAACACUUGGUACAUUAGGUGGCAGAAGAGAGAACAUUUUGAACCCUUCAAGCAUAAAGGGGAAUGUUUAUUGGCCAUUAGAUACCAUUGUAUCGCUGCCUGUGGAGGAGUUAUCGCAACCUAGGACCUUGAAGCCUUUCCAUGGGCUCCGCGACCCCAUAGCAACUACGAGAUCUUCAUCAUCAUUAGGAGAGUCGAUGAGUUUGAGCCUGCCUAAGACUUUCUCUCUUUGCUCUAAUAUAUGUACACCAACUUCUACCCGCAUUAUGUAGCCAUACCUUAGCUUUAAUUAUCUCUUGUCUCUCUUUAUUUUGAGGAGGGUAAGAAGGAAGAGGCAAAGGAAAAGAGUGAUGAUAGCAUGGGCUUGAUCGAUGAAUGUCUUCACAAGUGCCACCAUUUUGUUUUUGGUUCCUCGUGAUCCUUUCUUGUCUCCUCUUUCAUCUUGUCAAUCAUCACAAGCAACUUUUAACGAUUUUGCUCAUCUUAUCAUUUUUUUCUUUUCUAGCUUUGGUGUUGGCAGAGGACGACAUUUUUUUGUCAAUUCUAGAGGGCACCAGACUAGCUCAUUGAAUCAUGUCCCACCUUCUUUCGGAGUUGGGGAUGCCCCCAUGGUCGCCACCCCAAACCAUUGCGAGUUCAUCCAAUGGCCGAGUGAUGGUUGGCUCACACACAUUGAGUGACGAUCAAAGGUAUCUUGCCAAUAUAAGCCUUUUAGGUUCGUUUGCCCGCACUUAUCUUCAUGCCUUUUUCUUUUCCCUUAGGAGUUGCUUGUAUCUCAUCGUCCGGCCCCGACCUAGGCGGACGCCUAGGCGAGCACCCUCUGAGUGGACAUAGUUGUUGCAUGUUCUGCCCACACCCAAAUGGUUGCGGUUAUCAGUGAGGAGGCACUUCUACUACAGUCCUAGGCUCACCGCAUGGCUCAUCUUUAGCUCCUAGAGGCGUAUUGUGUUCUCCGUGACCUCCUCACUAAUCGAGUCAUGCAUGAGGGCCUUAUUCCUUCGAGGACCCUUCCUUGGUGAGCUAUAUCCUGACCAGUUAAAACAUGGCUUCCUCGGUUCAGCAUAUGUCCAUGGAGUUUCUUACAAUAGCAAUGAUUGACGUACCAUUGUUGGUUCAUGAGGUUUCUUUUGACACCCUUCACGCAUCCUCCAAGGUGGCAGUUGACGGUGAUCAAGGUCCUUCCCCAUCGAGUAUGGUGUGACCGGCCUUUUGCNNNNNNNNNNNNNNNNNNNNNNNNNNNNNNNNNNNNNNNNNNNNNNNNNNNNNNNNNNNNNNNNNNNNNNNNNNNNNNNNNNNNNNNNNNNNNNNNNNNNNNNNNNNNNNNNNNNNNNNNNNNNNNNNNNNNNNNNNNNNNNNNNNNNNNNNNNNNNNNNNNNNNNNNNNNNNNNNNNNNNNNNNNNNNNNNNNNNNNNNNNNNNNNNNNNNNNNNNNNNNNNNNNNNNNNNNNNNNNNNNNNNNNNNNNNNNNNNNAACUUAGUAGGAUUGUUAGUUCUGUGGGGUGCCGCUGUGAUAAUACUCCUUUUGUAUCCCUAAGCCUUCUGUAAUAAAGAGAGUUUUAAGGUUUUCUCACUUGGUGGUAUUUUAUUUGAUUUCACAUCCACAGCAAGGAGUUUCUUAGUGCAACUUCGAAUACCUACCCUCCCCCCUUGAUGAGAAAAGAGCCUUGUUAAGCUCCUUCGGUUCCUUCGCUAGUGCUUUUUUACUACAAGCAGAGGUAUUGAGUUGACACAUUGGGGCGACUUUUACUACAGGAUGAUUAUGCCCUUUUCCCUUUGGGCCCAACCAUUUGCCUUGGCUAGGACAAAAUUUGGAGAGACACGUGCAGUCGAAGAGGUCAAUGCUUUUGUCGGCUAGGACAAAAUUUGGGGUGAGGCAAUGAUGGUGUAUGCCGACUAAACCUGAUCAUUCGUCGGGCCUGACCUUCAAACUCCAAGCCCGAGCUCUUCCUGAAUCCUGAAAAUCACUACCUUCUCAAGCCCGAGCCCAGCCAGAAUGCAAGUCCGAAGCCCGAAAGCCCAGCCCGAAUGACACUUUUCAGUACAUCCAUGUGCAAGCUCGACUUGAAGCCCGAAAGCCCACGAAAUCCUAAAAAAGAGAAGCCCAAGCCCAACCUGAACUAUCAUCUGGGCUAGAAAAUGAGGCUCGAGCUUGGCCUCAAUGUGAAUCCUAACUCGGCACGGCCUCGACUUUUGGGUCAGGCUACCCAUGCCCUGGUCUAACGUCGAGCAUUUUCGCGAUCGUGAUAACAACCAUGGAGUUCUUGCAUUACCUGAGGAAGGCCAACAACUCAUCGCUUACCAUAACUAAGCAUGCAUAUGAUCAUGAUACUCUCUGUAAUUGGGUUGAUGAACACCCGGAUUUUCUUGUAAACAUCCUAAUAAAUGUUGUAGCUAUUUUGCCUAAUCAAGAAAGCAUGCCAUGAUGGAUUUCCCACAAAAAAAUGAGACGAAAAUGGAUGGGCAUAACCUGGAUUUUGGAGCCCGACAAAGGGGAAUAAUGUGGCACUAUAGACGGUCGUCUCUGGACGUGGUGCACCUUUGCCGAGGACAACGACAAUGCGUGAUCGAUCUCUUUAUCCCUCCUUCCUCCUGUUGAAUUUGAAAGCGCACGAGAUGCAAUCAGGGAGGGAGAUCGCGAUGGUAUGAAGAGGAAGGAUGGAUAAUGGACGAGAGUGGUGGUGUUAGCGGAUUAAAGGGGCAGGUUGUAUGAAACCAAGGCGACGGUGAAGGCGGAAGAAUGAGACCAGGAUAGCGGCGACGAUGACUAGGAUUCCUCGCGAAGAUGGAAGGGUACAUGCACGUCGUGUAGUUUGACUAUCGAUUCUUUUGGCCAAUUCUCCCAUAAUCUGCCUAUAUAUGUUGUAGUCACAUCUACCUAGGACAUGUCACCCCAUGCCACUACAACCAGCAGAAGUGUAGAACACCUCCCGCAUCUGCAUGAAGUCUAUGUGGACCAGCCACAACCCCUCGCACAUCCACAACUGACGUAGGUGUACGAAACAAAAUAAAUAAAAUUUCAAGGAUUGAGAGGAGCUGGGAGGUUAAUACUGAUUUACCACCCUACUAUAGGUGGGACAAACUAAAUGGUGAAUCAUACUUUUGCACCUAAGCACGAAUGACUAAGCGAUUGUGCGCAACACUACCAGAUCUAGAUGUUGAUGAAGCAGAAUACCUACACACACUCGAGGGUGAUGCGAGGUGGACAAAGAGAUGACAUCGUGGGGGAGAAGGUGUCGGAGGCAUCUCGCUUAUGAUUGGCUCCAUUGGAUUUUGCUUCGUGAUUGACUACUGGAGGCAUCUCGAGGGGCAUAUGCAUGGGAAAGACCCGAGGAAGGAUCUGCAUCUUGCACCGCGUUGUCGCGGAAGGGAAGCAGGUGUUAAUGGCGUGAUAGGACUGGAGGGCCCCGGUUUUGAUGUCCUUAUUAUUUCCCCGAGGUGGAUUAUAUUCGAAAGUCUCAUAUAUUUCCACUCUUCUUACAUGGCAAUGCACUCUUGCAAGAAACAAAUUUCCAUCAGACCAGGUCUAACUGGUUGAAGAGUUAAUUUUCCAUCCGAGUAGAAGACACUAGCAGUUUCAAUCUUAGAGCAUCGCCAACCAUCGUCCUAUAAUAGGCGCGAGUCGUUUUUAGGGGCUUAGGGCGCAAAGAGCCAAAAAAGGGCCUCCAAUAGAUGUCCAAUCCUAUUUUUUGUGCAAAAUCUUUUCUGGGCAGCCCCCCGGCUCCUCUAACUUAGCUAUUGUGAAGUUAGAAGCCUAACUUAGCCACAUUUCAUCCGUUGGAUCUAGAAUAAAUGGCUGAAAUCUACCGCUACAGUUCUUAAACAGUGUCAACUGCUACAGGUAACAAACAGUGAUUUUAGCUACAGUGCUCGUCCAAACAGUAUGCUACAGCCCCAUGUGAACAGUGCAGAAUCUUGGCCAUCUAUUUCCCAUCUGAUGGUUCACAGACUAAGUUAGGGUAUUAUUUCCCUAACUUCACAGUAGCUAAGUUAGAGGAGCCAGUUCCCAAAAAAGGAUCCUUGUGCGACAAAUUUGGGGCACUUCGGCGGCUGCCCAAAAACAUGAGGCUACUUCCGGGCGCCUUCAUGCGACUAGAAACCCUUGGAUCCAUCCACCAACCGGCGGCCGUGUGGCAAGCCCCUCCAACCCCGAUAGGCUUGCUGUUGCUCCCGUCUUAUUUUAGAGCAUCUGUUGGAGCAGUUUUGUCUUAUUUCAUGAGAAAAAAGGUUUUUUUUCUUUUUAUUAUAGGGCUGCUGUUGGAGACGGCAUUUGCUCGUGCAAAAAGAAAAGAAGGUUUUUGUGUCCUAUUUAUUUUUCUACUCCACCAUGUUUUCAUGCCCUAUUAUUAUAGAGCUGCUGUUGUUGCUCAUAGUGCAUUCAGUCUCGCUUGUGGUGUAUACGUGGACACCGCCACGCGCGCAGGUAGUGUCAGUGUCUGCAGCCAAGGACACAUCAUCCCAAGCCACGGCAAACUAUUGGACAGGGCCACGCGCGCAGGAAGUCUACGUGGCCUAUCGCGCAUCAGCGGCCGAUCAGCGCGCAACCGACGGCACAGAUAAACACACGUAGGAAACCACAAAAUAAAUAAAACCUCUCGUAAUUAAAGGUCAGCACGAAGCAACCCCUCCUCAAACGGCAACUCCUCCGAUCCCGAAGACGACGCUCCGAGUCGGCUCCCACUGAUCGCUUCUAGAAGCUUCCACAAAGUUCCGGCCCGCCGCCAUGGCCGCGCCCUUCUUCUCCACCCCCUUCCAUCCCUAUGUCUACCAGGUCGGUGCCGCUCCCUCAUCUCGCACGUUUCUCGUCCCCGCGUAGAUGCUAGGUCUGGAUUCGAGGUCGCGGGGCUGGAUCCGCACGAUCCGUGGCGCUCUGCUCCCGAUUGGCCCCCCCUCUCAUGAUCUGAUUCGGUUCGAAUUGCGUGGUUCCCAUUUUUCAGAGCCAACAGGGAUCUGUGACGGCGUUUCAGAUAUCCGGUGGGGAUGUGCAGGUUCUGCAGGUAGUUUCCGGUGCCUAAUUCUCGCUCGCCUGUUCUAUAUUCAGAUGGAUUGAGUUGUCAUCAUUUCUAAUUACUUGUGGGGGGGAAUGCUUUUCAGGUGAUGGUGAAGCCGCAGGACAAGUUGACUGCGAAACCAGGUAAUUGAACCGACUUGUUUCUGUUCUGCGCCUGAAAUUUGCAGCUUGCAAGCUCUACAAGUAUAGUUUGGGUGACAUGCCGAAUACAUUUUUUUAGUUACUCGGGUCUGCUAGCCUGGUAUUCAUGUGGCACUUGGCAGAAAUAAUUAAAAAGUUACAUCCCUAAUUUCAAUUGUAUAGUAUCCUUAAACCAUCUUAAUGUUUUGUAUACCUAUUUGGCAUAUCCACUACGGUUUUGUUCAAUAACGCCUUGAAAAAUCAUUGUGCAUCAGCGUGUGUUGAUAGUUGUUACUGCAAGGUGCUUUAUCACAUCGCUUAUUUUAUUUCUAUGUAUGAUGUGACGCUCAUAGAGGUUGUUUGUGUGCUUUUUUUUUAACUCAUUGCUGUCAAUGUUCAGGAUUUUGGACUGGUAGCUGAGUAGGGAUUAAUCGGCGAAUCGGCCAAUUAACUGAAUUAUCGAUAACCCAUUUCUUGGUAGGUUAACUAGGGACGUAUCGGUAUGUCCUAGGCUACAUGGCAACAUACAAUGUACUAAAUAUCGGAAUAUGCAAUCCUGGGCUACAUAGUUACAUACACACCAAUCUUCAUAGAUCACAUAGGAGAAGGGAGAUUACCUUGGUGCUUGAGGAAGCCAUGGACAGAGGAGGGGAGGAGCAGGCGACGAAGCAGGAAGAGGUAGCAAGCUUGGGGAAGCAAUCUGGAAGACGGCCGCCGUUGGCUGGUCGGUGAGGAGGCGGCGAGCUCGGGGGCGGGGGCACUAGCUGCUCCUUGUUGCUGGAUGAGGGGAGGCGAGCGGAUGAGGGAGGCGCUGGCUGGCUGAUGUUGCUGGCGGCUGCUUGGGGCGGAGGCGGCGGCAGCGGCGGCGGCGGCUCCUCUGGAGGAGCGGG
rnacentral:lncRNA from 1 species